rnacentral:rRNA from 1 species
GAUGAACGCUGGCGGCGUGCCUAAUACAUGCAAGUCGAGCGAACAGACGAGGAGCUUGCUCCUCUGACGUUAGCGGCGGACGGGUGAGUAACACGUGGAUAACCUACCUAUAAGACUGGGAUAACUUCGGGAAACCGGCGCUAAUACCGGAUAAUAUAUUGAACCGCGUGGUUCAAUAGUGAAAGACGGUUUUGCUGUCACUUCUAGAUGGAUCCGCGCCGCAUUAGCUAGUUGGUAAGGUAACGGCUUACCAAGGCAACGAUGCGUAGCCGACCUGAGAGGGUGAUCGGCCACACUGGAACUGAGACACGGUCCAGACUCCUACGGGAGGCAGCAGUAGGGAAUCUUCCGCAAUGGGCGAAAGCUUGACGGAGCAACGCCGCGUGAGUGAUGAAGGUCUUCGGAUCGUAAAACUCUGUUAUUAGGGAAGAACAAAUGUGUAAGUAACUAUGCACGUCUUGACGGUACCUAAUCAGAAAGCCACGGCUAACUACGUG